rnacentral:rRNA from 1 species
AACGCUGGCGGCGUGCCUAACACAUGCAAGUCGAACGAGAAAGUGGAGCAAUCCAUGAGUAAAGUGGCGACCGGGUGAGUAACACGUGACUAACCUACCUCCGAGUGGGGAAUAACUCCGGGAAACCGGGGCUAAUACCGCAUAACAUCGCAAGAUCAAAGCAGCAAUGCGCUUGGAGAGGGGGUCGCGGCUGAUUAGCUAGUUGGCGGGGUAACGGCCCACCAAGGCGAAGAUCGGUAUCCGGCCUGAGAGGGCGCACGGACACACUGGAACUGAAACACGGUCCAGACUCCUACGGGAGGCAGCAGUGGGGAAUUUUGCGCAAUGGGGGAAACCCUGACGCAGCAACGCCGCGUGGAGGAUGAAGUCCCUUGAGACGUAAACUCCUUUCGACCAAGACGAUAAUGACGGUACUGGUGGAAGAAGCACCGGC